UACGAAGGGGGCUAGCGUUGCUCGGAAUCACUGGGCGUAAAGCGCACGUAGGCGGCUUUCUAAGUCAGGGGUGAAAUCCUGGAGCUCAACUCCAGAACUGCCUUUGAUACUGGAGCUUGAGUCCGGGAGAGGUGAGUGGAACUCCGAGUGUAGAGGUGAAAUUCGAUUAGAUAUUCGGAAGAAACACCAGUGGCGAAGGCGGCUCACUGGCCCGGUACUGACGCUGAUGUGCGAAAGCGUGGGGAGCAAACAGG
rnacentral:rRNA from 1 species